rnacentral:rRNA from 1 species
UUGCAAGUGCGCGUGCUAUACAUGCAGUCGAGCGGACUUGCUGGAGCUUGCUCCAGCAGGUUAGCGGCGGACGGGUGAGUAACACGUGGGCAACCUGCCUGUAAGACUGGGAUAACUCCGGGAAACCGGAGCUAAUACCGGAUAGUAUCUUGAACCGCAUGGUUCAAGUUGGAAAGACGGUUUCGGCUGUCACUUACAGAUGGGCCCGCGGCGCAUUAGCUAGUUGGUGAGGUAAUGGCUCACCAAGGCAACGAUGCGUAGCCGACCUGAGAGGGUGAUCGGCCACACUGGGACUGAGACACGGCCCAGACUCCUACGGGAGGCAGCAGUAGGGAAUCUUCCGCAAUGGACGAAAGUCUGACGGAGCAACGCCGCGUGAGUGAUGAAGGUUUUCGGAUCGUAAAACUCUGUUGUUAGGGAAGAACAAGUGCGAGAGUAACUGCUCGCACCUUGACGGUACCUAACCAGAAAGCCACGGCUAACUACGUGCCAGCAGCCGCGGUAAUACGUAGGUGGCAAGCGUUGUCCGGAAUUAUUGGGCGUAAAGCGCGCGCAGGCGGUUUCUUAAGUCUGAUGUGAAAGCCCCCGGCUCAACCGGGGAGGGUCAUUGGAAACUGGGAAACUUGAGUGCAGAAGAGGAGAGUGGAAUUCCACGUGUAGCGGUGAAAUGCGUAGAGAUGUGGAGGAACACCAGUGGCGAAGGCGACUCUCUGGUCUGUAACUGACGCUGAGGCGCGAAAGCGUGGGGAGCGAACAGGAUUAGAUACCCUGGUAGUCCACGCCGUAAACGAUGAGUGCUAAGUGUUAGAGGGUUUCCGCCCUUUAGUGCUGCAGCUAACGCAUUAAGCACUCCGCCUGGGGAGUACGGUCGCAAGACUGAAACUCAAAGGAAUUGACGGGGGCCCGCACAAGCGGUGGAGCAUGUGGUUUAAUUCGAAGCAACGCGAAGAAACCUUACCAGGUCUUGACAUCCUUUGCCACUUCUAGAGAUAGAAGGGUUCCCCUUCGGGGGACAAAGUGACAGGUGGUGCAUGAUUGUCGUCAGCUCGUGUCGUGAGAUGUUGGGUUAAGUCCCGCACGAGCGCAACCCUUUGAUCUUAGUUGCCAGCAUUCAGUUGGGCACUUCUUAAGGUGACUGCGAUGACAAACCGAGUAGGUGGGGAUGACGGUCAAUCAUCAUGACCCUAUGACUUGGCUACCACCGGUGCCUAACAUGAAUGUUCCAAGGGGCCUGGCCGGGAGAACGCG